UACAGAGGUCUCAAGCGUUGUUCGGAUUCAUUGGGCGUAAAGGGCGCGUAGGCUGCGGGGCAAGUCGGGUGUGAAAUCUCAGAGCUCAACUCUGAAACUGCACUCGAUACUGCUUUGCUCGAGGACUGGAGAGGAGAUUGGAAUUCAAGGUAGCAGUGAAAUGCGUAGAUAUCGUGAGGAAGACCAGUGGCGAAGGCGGAUCUCUGGACAGUUCCUGACGCUGAGGCGCGAAGGCCAGGGGAGCAAACGGG
rnacentral:rRNA from 1 species